CCGGCCUGGUGGCACAGGGGUUAAGUGCAUGCGUUCCGCUUCGGCGGCCCAGGGUUGGCUGCUUCGGAUCCUGGGUACAAACACGGCACUGCUCAGCAAGCCAUGCUGCGGGAUCAAGUCUUACAGACAAGGUUGACUGGGCUGAGUGAGUCACCGUGAAUCCAGAUUCCCAGGCAACCUCCAAAUCAACAUACAGAUCAGGGCAAAGGCCUGAACCUAAAGGAGGUUGUCUGCCGGGGACACUGACAGUAACCGUGUGGUCAGGAGUCACUGUUUCCUAGCAACCAAAGAAAGCAUCUGUUUCCUGAUGUCUGUGGGCACCAGCCCAAUGAGCGAUGCUCCAGCCGCCUCCAGAAGCAGAGAGAAGACAAAGGCACUGGACUCGGUCUUGGUCGGAAGCUAAGAGAGCCCCUUACUCCCCAGUCAAGGAAUUGAAGAAGGACAAAUGUUUUUCCAACUUACUGAAUUAGCAGAAUGAUAGCACAUGUCAACCUUUAUGGAGCUGUAGAAAGUCAGGGCAGAAAGUGUUGUGGUGAAGUUAACCAGCUCGUCACGUCUCAGACGACACCUGAGGCUGGGGCCAUGAAGGGCCAAGAGACUUGGCGACAGCCACUCCAGUCAGCGAUGGAGUGGACACUGCACCCGGCAUCCGGCCUCCUGGGGUCCGGAGCUUUGCCUUCUCUGGGCCACAAAGCCACCCCUCUGGCUUGCAGCGUCCUCUCCCACUGCUGUCUUGCAGAGAGCAGUAUCACUGUCUUUGCAGUCAGUCCUGUGGGACGGACGCUCCUGCUCUCUCCCCCUCACCUUUCCCAGCUCCCCUCCAAGGCUAAAGCAGAGGGAGCAGCAGCAAGAAUGGUCCAAAAUAAUUAAACUGGUCUGGUGAAGAAUUCGUUUUAAGUCGGUGGCAUCCUGUUGCCUCUGCUUGUUGUUGGAGAGCUGAACCAAAUGAAGUUUAACGUUUAUACGGUACAAUUAAAAAAAGUUUGUAAAGUUUUUUUCCCAAG
rnacentral:lncRNA from 1 species